UACAGAGGGGGCAAGCGUUGUUCGGAAUUACUGGGCGUAAAGGGCGCGUAGGCGGCCGCCUAAGUCAGACGUGAAAUCCCCCGGCUUAACCUGGGAACUGCGUCUGAUACUGGAAGGCUUGAGUUCGGGAGAGGGAUGUGGAAUUCCAGGUGGUGAGCGGUUGAAAUGCGUAGAUAUCUGGAGGAACACCGGUGGCGAAGGCGGCAUCCUGGACCGAAACUGACACUGAGGCGCGAAAGCCAGG
rnacentral:rRNA from 1 species